GACGAACGCUGGCGGCGUGCUUAACACAUGCAAGUCGAACGGAAAGGCCCUGCUUUUGUGGGGUGCUCGAGUGGCGAACGGGUGAGUAACACGCGAGUAACCUGCCCUUGACCUUGGGAUAACUUCAGGAAACUGGGGCUAAUACCGGAUAGGAGCUCCUGCUGCAUGGUGGGGGUUGGAAAGUUUCGGCGGUUGGGGAUGGACUCGCGGCUUAUCAGCUUGUUGGUGGGGUAGUGGCUUACCAAGGCUUUGACGGGUAGCCGGCCUGAGAGGGUGACCGGCCACAUUGGGACUGAGAUACGGCCCAGACUCCUACGGGAGGCAGCAGUGGGGAAUAUUGCACAAUGGGCGGAAGCCUGAUGCAGCAACGCCGCGUGCGGGAUGACGGCCUUCGGGUUGUAAACCGCUUUCGCCUGUGACGAAGCGUGAGUGACGGUAAUGGGUAAAGAAGCACCGGCUAACUACGU
rnacentral:rRNA from 1 species